rnacentral:lncRNA from 1 species
CCAUUUCUGCUCCCUCUCAUAUUCCAGCUGCAUCCGCUCCACGGAUGCCGAACGUCGCCGGGAGGAUCCCCUGCUGGCCAGGGGGUGUCACGGUGCCCUCAGUAUUCACUGGGCUCCUCCUCACCCUUCCCCUAGGCCUAGGAAGGGGGGUCUCGGGAAGCCCUCGUCCGCCGGCUGACCAGUCCCAGCGGGGACAGACACUGGUGCCUGCACUGCAUCUGCCCGGCUGCUUCCCUCAGAGACAGGGCUCCGUUCAUUCAAGCGAUCUCCCUCCUCCAGCUGGGCAAUCAGCUGGUCCUUGCUGAGCCUCCCCGGGCGCAGCCCUCUCUGCUUGCACAGCUCCAGCAGGUCGCACUUGCGCAGCUUGGCAUACAUUGUCCUGCUGGCCACUCACAGGGCAGGGUGCUCGCCGCUCCCCACGGUUUCCAGGGGGACCCCUAGUGCACCAGCCCUUCUUGAGGUCACCACCUCUCUGCCAGGGUCGAGCUGUAGACUCCUCCGCCCCUGGGACCGCUUGCUGCAAUCCCCUGGGGGACCCUGUUACUGCAAAGUCCUUCUCACUGGGCACACACUCCCAGGGGUUAACCACCCCUUCGUUUUACUGCUCCCCAGUCACUUACUGCAGGAAGCGUCGUCCACGGGGUGCAGUAUCUCCCACCGCUGCCACCAGUUGUCACGGAGUGUGGGGGAGUCCAGCCCUGCACCCCUCUUCCUGGGACCCACAGUGACUCUCAGCCAGCCAGUAAAACAGAAGGUUUAUUGGACAACAGGAACACAGGUUACAGCAGAGCUUGCAGGCACAGUCAGGACCCCUCCACCGAGUCCUUCUGGGCUUUCAGGGUGCUUGGAUCCUAGCUAGGAUACCCUGAAUUCCGCCCACACAGCCCCAAGCCCAAACUCAAACUGCUUCCCUCCUGCCACUCCCUUCCUUUGUCCCCUUCCCGGGCAAAGGUGUUGACCUUUCCCCUCCCUUACCUAGCUCAGGUUACAGGCCCUGGCAUCG